CCCUUAGAUGUCCUGGGCCGCACGCGCGCUACACUGACAUGUUCAACAAGUUUCUCCUAGUUCGACAGGACUGGGAAAUCUUUGAACGCAUGUCGUGAUAGGGAUAGAUCAUUGCAAUUAUUGAUCUUGAACGAGGAAUUCCUAGUAAACGCGAGUCAUCAGCUCGCAUUGAUUACGUCCCUGCCCUUUGUACACACCGCCCGUCGCACCUACCGAUUGAAUGUUUCGGUGAAGAUUCCGGAUAGGACUGAUUUGAUUUAUUUCGUUUCUGACCUAAAAGCUAUCUAAACCUCAACAUUUAGAGGAAGGUGAAGUCGUAACA
rnacentral:rRNA from 1 species